rnacentral:rRNA from 1 species
AGAGUUUGAUCAUGGCUCAGAACGAACGCUGGCGGCGUGCUUAACACAUGCAAGUCGAACGUGAAAGUGGCUUCGGCCAUGAGUAAAGUGGCAGACGGGUGAGUAACACGUGGGUAACCUGCCCCUUGGCGGGGGAUAACCAUUCGAAAGGAUGGCUAAUACCGCACAAGACCACGUCCUUAUGGGAUGGGGUAAAAGACGAAAGUCACCGAGGGAGGGGCCCGCGGCCGAUUAGCUAGUUGGUGAGGUAAUGGCUCACCAAGGCAACGAUCUGUAGCGGGUCUGAGAGGAUGAUCCGCCACACUGGGACUGAGACACGGCCCAGACUCCUACGGGAGGCAGCAGUGGGGAAUUUUGGACAAUGGGCGAAAGCCUGAUCCAGCCAUGCCGCGUGAGUGAAGAAGGCCUUCGGGUUGUAAAGCUCUUUCGGCUGGGAAGAAAUCGCACAGGCUAAUACUCUGUGUGGAUGACGGUACCAGCACAAGAAGCACCGGCUAACUACGUGCCAGCAGCCGCGGUAAUACGUAGGGUGCGAGCGUUAAUCGGAAUUACUGGGCGUAAAGCGUGCGCAGGCGGUUGUGCAAGACAGAUGUGAAAUCCCCGGGCUCAACCUGGGAACUGCAUUUGUGACUGCACGACUAGAGUACGGCAGAGGGGGGUAGAAUUCCACGUGUAGCAGUGAAAUGCGUAGAGAUGUGGAGGAAUACCGAUGGCGAAGGCAGCCCCCUGGGCCGAUACUGACGCUCAUGCACGAAAGCGCGGGGAGCAAACAGGAUUAGAUACCCUGGUAGUCC